rnacentral:rRNA from 1 species
AGUGGCGGACGGGUGAGUAACCGUGGGUAACCUACCUACAAGCGGGGGAUAACAUUCGGAAACGGAUGCUAAUACCGCAUAGAUCUUUUUGUCUCCUGGCAGAAAGAAGAAAGACGGUUUCGGCUGUCACUUGUAGAUGGACCCGCGGCGCAUUAGUUAGUUGGUGAGGUAAUGGCUCACCAAGACGAUGAUGCGUAGCCGACCUGAGAGGGUGAUCGGCCACACUGGGACUGAGACACGGCCCAGACUCCUACGGGAGGCAGCAGUAGGGAAUCUUCCGCAAUGGACGAAAGUCUGACGGAGCAACGCCGCGUGAGUGAAGAAGGUUUUCGGAUCGUAAAACUCUGUUGUUAGAGAAGAACAAGGAUGAGAGUAACUGCUCGUCCCUUGACGGUAUCUAACCAGAAAGCCAUGGCUAACUACGUGCCAGCAGCCGCGGUAAUACGUAGAUGGCAAGCGUUGUCCGGAUUUAUUGGGCGUAAAGCGAGCGCAGGCGGUUCUUUAAGUCUGAUGUGAAAGCCCCUGGCUCAACCAGGGAGGGUCAUUGGAAACUGGAGAACUUGAGUGCAGAAGAGGAAAGUGGAAUUCCAUGUGUAGCGGUGAAAUGCGUAGAUAUAUGGAGGAACACCAGUGGCGAAGGCGACUUUCUGGUCUGUAACUGACGCUGAGGCUCGAAAGCAUGGGGAGCAAACAGGAUUAGAUACCCUGGUAGUCCAUGCCGUAAACGAUGAGUGCUAAGUGUUGGAGGGUUUCCGCCCUUCAGUGCUGCAGCUAACGCAUUAAGCACUCCGCCUGGGGAGUACGACCGCAAGGUUGAAACUCAAAGGAAUUGACGGGGGCCCGCACAAGCGGUGGAGCAUGUGGUUUAAUUCGAAGCAACGCGAAGAACCUUACCAGGUCUUGACAUCCUUUGACCACUCUAGAGAUAGAGCUUUCCCUUCGGGGACAAAGUGACAGGUGGUGCAUGGUUGUCGUCAGCUCGUGUCGUGAGAUGUUGGGUUAAGUCCCGCAACGAGCGCAACCCUUAUUAUUAGUUGCCAGCAUUCAGUUGGGCACUCUAGUGAGACUGCCGGUGAUAAACCGGAGGAAGGUGGGGGAUGACGUCAAAUCAUCAUGCCCCUUAUGACCUGGGGCUACACACGUGCUACAAUGGAUGGUACAACGAGUCGCAAAACCCGCGAGGUUAAGCUAAUCUCUUAAAGCCAUUCUCAGUUUCGGAUUGUAGGCUGCAAUUCGCCUACAUGAAANCCGGAAUCGCUAGUNAAUCNCGGNAUCA